rnacentral:rRNA from 1 species
AUUGAACGCUGGCGGCAGGCCUAACACAUGCAAGUCGAACGAGUGGCGGACGGGUGAGUAAUGUCUGGGAAACUGCCUGAUGGAGGGGGAUAACUACUGGAAACGGUGGCUAAUACCGCAUACCAUCAGAUGUGCCCAGAUGGGAUUAGCUUGUUGGGGGGGUAACGGCUCACCAAGGCGACGAUCCCUAGCUGGUCUGAGAGGAUGACCAGCAACACGGGAACUAGACAACGGUCCAGACUCUUACGGGAGGAAGCAGUGGGGAAUAUGGGAAAAUGGGCGCAAGCCUGAUGAAGCCAUGCCGCGUGGAUGAAGAAGGCCUUCGGGUUGUAAAGUACUUUCAGCGGGGAGGCGGUACCCGCAGAAGAAGCAACGGCUAACUCCGUGCCAGCAGCCGCGGUAAUAC